rnacentral:rRNA from 1 species
GAUGAACGCUGGCGGCGUGCUUAACACAUGCAAGUCGAACGGAAAGGCUCCUGCUUGCAGGGGUACUCGAGUGGCGAACGGGUGAGUAACACGUGGGUGAUCUGCCCUGCACUUCGGGAUAAGCCUGGGAAACUGGGUCUAAUACCGGAUAGGACGAUGGUUUGGAUGCCAUUGUGGAAAGUUUUUCGGUGUGGGAUGAGCUCGCGGCCUAUCAGCUUGUUGGUGGGGUAAUGGCCUACCAAGGCGUCGACGGGUAGCCGGCCUGAGAGGGUGUACGGCCACAUUGGGACGGAGAUACGGCCCAGACGCCUACGGGGGCAGCAGUGGGGAAUAUUGCACAAUGGGCGCAAGCCUGAUGCAGCGACGCCGCGUGGGGAAUGACGGCCUUCGGGUUGUAAACUCCUUUCGCUAGGGACGAAGCGCAAGUGACGGUACCUGGAGAAGAAGCACCGGCUAACUACGU